GUACGGAAACGAAUCCCCGGGGCUCUUUGACUGGGGGCGAGUCUUCGAAGUCGCCAGGCUCUGCCUAUCAACCGGGUCCUGAUUGGUGCAGGCUGUGGCGGUCCGCCCCUGACUCCGUCUAGCCCCGCUCCGCGAGAAGAGGCUGAACUGCCCCAUCUGCUUCUAAUUUCUUUCUUUCUUUCUUUCUUUCUUUUUUUCCCCUCUUUUCCUUUUCUUCUUUUAAAUAUACGUUUGGAAAUUUGCCGGGCGUGGUGGCGGGCGCCUGUAAUCCCAGCUACUCGGGAGGCUGAGGCAGGAGAAUCGCUUGAAUCCGGGAGACGGAGGUUGCAGUGAGCCGAGAACGCGCCACUACACUCCAGCCUGGACGACGAGAGUGAUACUCCGUCUCAGUCAAUCAAUCAAUCAAUCAAUCGUUUGAUUUUCGUUUUAUGCUUUUACUUCCAAAUUUAUAUUUAUUGCAAAAAAUGUGGAAUAUAACAAAGUGUAAAGGUGAAACUGAAAUAACCCGAAAUUAUAUUUCCCCCUCUGUGGUUUUUUUUUUUCCGUCUCUGUGUUUUUCAAUGUUUUUCAGGCCUUCUGUCUUGAGCUCGUAUUACUGCUGUUCACUGAUGUAUUGUAAAAGCGUAAAACCGGACGUGACCCAAAUGUCUAUCAAAGGAGACUGAUGAGAGAAAUAAACGGAUUUGUUCACACAACGGCUUCUACAGCAAAGAAACAGAAGGUAGCUCCAAGUGCUCUGAAAUGGAAAGACGGAGUCUUGCUCUGUUGCCCAGACUGGAGUGCAGUGGUGCGAUCUUGGCUCACUGCAACCUCCGCCUCCCGGUUCAAGCGAUUCUUCUGCCUCAGCCUCCCGAGUAGCUGGGACUACAGGUGCCCGCCACCAUGCUCAGCUAAUUUUUGGAUUUUUAGUAGAGACGGGGUUUUACCAUAUUGGCCAGGCUGGUCUCGAACUCCUGACCUUGUGACCCACCCACCUCGGCCUCCCAAAUUGCUGGGAUUACAGGCAAGAGCCACCGCGCCCUGCCGAGAAUUUGCAUUUCUAACAAGUUCCCAGGUGAUGCUGACACUGCUGGCUCAUGGAACCACUGCUGUAGUAUUUUCCAAAUUAUCCUGAUUCUAAGAACCACCUAUGACCUGUGCUGUUUUUUCAGUGGUUACUGGCUCAUGUCACAUAAAUUCUUUUAGGAUUCAAACAUGUUUGUGAUAUUACUCAGUAUUUACAUCUUGCUUUUACUGCAGCAUGAUAGAAAAAUUAACCACAGGUAUAUCAUAACAAAAAGACCAUGAGUUACCAUUUUCACAAAGUUCAGAUAUAUUUAAAUUAGCCUAUUUAAUCUUUUUUUGGUUGUUGUUGAGAUGGAGUCUCACUCUGUCUCUCAGGCUGGAGUACAGUGGCACAAUCUCAGCUCACUGCAACCUCUGCCUCCCAGGUUCAAGUAAUUCUCCUGCCUCAGCCUCCCGAGUAGCGGGGAUUACAGGUGCCCAACACCACACAUGGCUAAUUUUUGUAUUUUUAGUAGAGAUGGGGUUUUGCCAUGUUAGCCAGGCUGGUCUUGAACUCCUGACCUCAGAUGAUCCGCCUGCCUCGGCCUCUCAAAGUGCUGGGAUUACAGGCAUGAGCCAUCGCACCCAGCCUAUGGUACACCUUUACUGAGGAAACAAUUCAGGAACAUCACUCUUAGUAAGGCAAUUGUUGAUUAUAAGUCAAAAAAACACCAUCAUGUACAAAUUCAGGGGAUUUUGUAUACCUUGUUUUUUUGGUUACAAAUAUGCAAAAUUAAAGAUGUUUGCUAAUACUUGUUUCCAAUUUUUAAACUUUUCAAGUGUUGCACUGUUAAUAAUGUUAAAAUAAAAGGCAUUUGACUUAG
rnacentral:lncRNA from 1 species